CAGUCGCCGCGGUAAUACGAAGGGGGCUAGCGUUGUUCGGAAUUACUGGGCGUAAAGCGCACGUAGGCGGAUACUUAAGUUAGGGGUGAAAUCCCAGGGCUCAACCCUGGAACUGCCUUUAAUACUGGGUAUCUUGAGUUCGAGAGAGGUAAGUGGAAUUCCGAGUGUAGAGGUGAAAUUCGUAGAUAUUCGGAGGAACACCAGUGGCGAAGGCGGCUUACUGGCUCGAUACUGACGCUGAGGUGCGAAAGCGUGGGGAGCAAACAGGAUUAGAUACCCCUGUAGUCCCUGUCUCUUAUAC
rnacentral:rRNA from 1 species